UCCUCCUCUGCACCACUGAGGGAGGAGUGAGUGAACAGCAGUGUGGAGUUUAGCUGCCCCUCAAGGUUAAACCACAGCUGAAAUCUGCAAGAUAAAGGGAACUUUCUUAUUAAAAGACUUUUUUUCUUGAACAAUCUUUAUGAAGCUAACUUAUUCAACUAGCAACUCCUUGUGUCUGAUUUCUUUUUUUUCCUCUGCAACUUUAAUUCCAUUGUAAACAACGGUGUGAGCAAGAAAUUUAAAAAGUGAAUUGAAGACAUUACAAUGCCCAGAGUUCUGGAAAAGGGGGAAAAG